UGGCUAAUAAACUAUAAUCAAUAUGUCACUUCUCUGGCUAAUAAACUAUAAUCAAUAUGUCACUUCUCUGUCUAGUAAACUAUAAUCAAUAUGUCACUUCUCUGGCUAAUAAACUAUAAUCAAUAUGUGACUUCUCUGGCUAAUAAACUAUAAUCAAUAUGUCACUUCUCUGGCUAAUAAACUAUAAUCAAUAUGUCAUGUGGAAGUGGUGUUGCGUCAUGUGGAAGUGGUGUUGCGUCAUGUGGGAGUGGUGUUGCGUCAUGUGGAAGUGGUGUUGCGUCAUGUGGAAGUGGUGUUGCGUCAUGUGGAAGUGUUGUUGCAUCAUGUGGAAGUGGUGUUGCGUCAUGUGGAAGUGGUGUUGCGUCAUGUAGAAUUGGUGUUGCGUCAUGUGGAAGUGGUGUUGCGUCAUGUGGAAGCGGUGUUGCGUCAUGUGGAAGUUGUGUUGCGUCAUGUGGAAGUGGUGUUGCAUCAUGUGGAAGUGGUGUUGCGUCAUGUGGAAGUGGUGUUGCGUCAUGUAGAAUUGGUGUUGCGUCAUGUGGAAGUGGUGUUGCGUCAUGUGGAAGCGGUGUUGCGUCAUGUGGAAGUUGUGUUGCGUCAUGUGGAAGUGUUGUUGCAUCAUGUGGAAGUGGUGUUGCGUCAUGUGGAAGUGGUGUUGCGUCAUGUAGAAUUGGUGUUGCGUCAUGUGGAAGUGGUGUUGCGUCAUGUGGAAGUGGUGUUGCGUCAUGUGGAAGUGGUGUUGCGUCAUGUGGAAGUGGUGUUGCGUCAUGUGGAAGUGGUGUUGCGUCAUGUGGAAGUGGUGUUGCGUCAUGUGGAAGUGGUGUUGCGUCAUGUGGAAGUGGUGUUGCGUCAUGUGGAAGUGGUGUUGCGUCAUGUGGAAGUUGUGUUGCGUCAUGUGGAAGCGGUGUUGCGUCAUGUGGAAGUGGUGUAGCGUCAUGUGGAAGUGGUGUUGCGUCAUGUGGAAGUGGUGUAGCGUCAUGUGGAUGUGGUGUUGCGUCAUGUGGAAGUGGUGUUGCGUCAUGUGGAAGUGGUGUUGCGUCAUGUGGAAGUGGUGUAGCGUCAUGUGGGAGUGGUGUUGCGUCAUGUGGAAGUGGUGUAGCGUCAUGUGGAAGUGGUGUUGCGUCAUGUGGAAGUGGUGUUGCGUCAUGUGGAAGUGGUGUUGCGUCAUGUGGGAGUGGUGUUGCGUCAUGUGGAAGUGGUGUAGCGUCAUGUGGAAGUGGUGUUGCGUCAUGUGGAAGUGGUGUUACGUCAUGUGGAAGUGGUGUUGCGUCAUGUGGAAGUGGUGUUGCGUCAUGUGGAAGUGGUGUUGCGUCAUGUGGAAGUGGUGUUGCGUCAUGUGGAAGUGGUGUUGCGUCAUGUGGAAGUGGUGUAGCGUCAUGUGGAAGUGGUGUUGCGUCAUGUGGAAGUGGUGUUGCGUCAUGUGGAAGUGGUGUUGCGUCAUGUGGAAGCGGUGUUGCGUCAUGUGGAAGUGGUGUUGCGUCAUGUGGAAGUGGUGUUGCGUCAUGUGGAAGUGGUGUUGCGUCAUGUGGAAGUGGCGUUGCGUCAUGUGGAAGUGGCGUUGCGUCAUGUAGAAGCGGUGUUGCGUCAUGUGGAAGUGGUGUUGCGUCAUGUGGAAGCGGUGUUACGUCAUGUAGAAGCGGUGUUGCGUCAUGUGGAAGCGGUGUUGCGUCAUGUGGAAGUUGUGUUGCGUCAUGUGGAAGUGGUGUUGCGUCAUGUGGAAGUGGUGUUGCGUCAUGUGGAAGUGGUGUUGCGUCAUGUGGAAGUGGUGUUGCGUCAUGUGGAAGUGGUGUUGCGUCAUGUGGAAGUGGUGUUGCGUCAUGUGGAAGUGGUGUUGCGUCAUGUGGAAGUGGUGUUGCGUCAUGUGGAAGUUGUGUUGCGUCAUGUGGAAGCGGUGUUGCGUCAUGUGGAAGUGGUGUAGCGUCAUGUGGAAGUGGUGUUGCGUCAUGUGGAAGUGGUGUAGCGUCAUGUGGAUGUGGUGUUGCGUCAUGUGGAAGUGGUGUUGCGUCAUGUGGAAGUGGUGUUGCGUCAUGUGGAAGUGGUGUAGCGUCAUGUGGGAGUGGUGUUGCGUCAUGUGGAAGUGGUGUAGCGUCAUGUGGAAGUGGUGUUGCGUCAUGUGGAAGUGGUGUUGCGUCAUGUGGAAGUGGUGUUGCGUCAUGUGGGAGUGGUGUUGCGUCAUGUGGAAGUGGUGUAGCGUCAUGUGGAAGUGGUGUUGCGUCAUGUGGAAGUGGUGUUACGUCAUGUGGAAGUGGUGUUGCGUCAUGUGGAAGUGGUGUUGCGUCAUGUGGAAGUGGUGUUGCGUCAUGUGGAAGUGGUGUUGCGUCAUGUGGAAGUGGUGUUGCGUCAUGUGGAAGUGGUGUAGCGUCAUGUGGAAGUGGUGUUGCGUCAUGUGGAAGUGGUGUUGCGUCAUGUGGAAGUGGUGUUGCGUCAUGUGGAAGCGGUGUUGCGUCAUGUGGAAGUGGUGUUGCGUCAUGUGGAAGUGGUGUUGCGUCAUGUGGAAGUGGUGUUGCGUCAUGUGGAAGUGGCGUUGCGUCAUGUGGAAGUGGCGUUGCGUCAUGUAGAAGCGGUGUUGCGUCAUGUGGAAGUGGUGUUGCGUCAUGUGGAAGUGGUGUUGCGUCAUGUGGAAGUGGUGUUGCGUCAUGUGGAAGUGGUGUUGCGUCAUGUGGAAGUGGUGUUGCGUCAUGUGGAAGUGGUGUUGCGUCAUGUGGAAGUGGUGUUGCGUCAUGUGGAAGUGGUGUUGCGUCAGGUGGAAGUUGUGUUGCGUCAUGUGGAAGUGGUGUUGCGUCAUGUGGAAGUGGUGUUGCGUCAUGUGGAAGUGGUGUUGCGUCAUGUGGAAGCGGUGUUGCGUCAUGUGGAAGUGGUGUUGCGUCAUGUGGAAGUGGUGUAGCGUCAUGUGGGAGUGGUGUUGCGUCAUGUGGAAGUGGUGUAGCGUCAUGUGGAAGUGGUGUUGCGUCAUGUGGAAGUGGUGUUGCGUCAUGUGGAAGUGGUGUUGCGUCAUGUGGGAGUGGUGUUGCGUCAUGUGGAAGUGGUGUAGCGUCAUGUGGAAGUGGUGUUGCGUCAUGUGGAAGUGGUGUUACGUCAUGUGGAAGUGGUGUUGCGUCAUGUGGAAGUGGUGUUGCGUCAUGUGGAAGUGGUGUUGCGUCAUGUGGAAGUGGUGUUGCGUCAUGUGGAAGUGGUGUUGCGUCAUGUGGAAGUGGUGUUGCGUCAUGUGGAAGUGGUGUUGCGUCAUGUGGAAGUGGUGUUGCGUCAUGUGGAAGUGGUGUAGCGUCAUGUGGAAGUGGUGUAGCGUCAUGUGGAAGUGGUGUUGCGUCAUGUGGAAGCGGUGUUGCGUCAUGUGGAAGCGGUGUUGCGUCAUGUGGAAGUGGUGUUGCGUCAUGUGGAAGUGGUGUUGCGUCAUGUGGAAGUGGCGUUGCGUCAUGUGGAAGUGGCGUUGCGUCAUGUGGAAGUGGCGUUGCGUCAUGUAGAAGCGGUGUUGCGUCAUGUGGAAGUGGUGUUGCGUCAUGUGGAAGCGGUGUUACGUCAUGUAGAAGCGGUGUUGCGUCAUGUGGAAGUUGUGUUGCGUCAUGUGGAAGUGGUGUUGCGUCAUGUGGAAGUGGUGUUGCGUCAUGUGGAAGUGGUGUUGCGUCAUGUGGAAGUGGUGUUGCGUCAUGUGGAAGUGGUGUUGCGUCAUGUGGAAGUGGUGUUGCGUCAUGUGGAAGUGGUGUUGCGUCAUGUGGAAGUGGUGUUGCGUCAUGUGGAAGUGGUGUUGCGUCAGGUGGAAGUUGUGUUGCGUCAGGUGGAAGUUGUGUUGCGUCAUGUGGAAGUGGUGUUGCGUCAUGUGGAAGUGGUGUUGCGUCAUGUGGAAGCGGUGUUGCGUCAUGUGGAAGCGGUGUUGCGUCAUGUGGAAGCGGUGUUGCGUCAUGUGGAAUUGGUGUUGCGUCAUGUGGAAGUGGUGUUGCGUCAUGUGGAAGCGGUGUAGCGUCAUGUGGAAGCGGUGUUGCGUCAUGUGGAAGUGGUGUUGCGUCAUGUGGAAGUGGUGUUGCGUCAUGUGGAAGUGGUGUUGCGUCAUGUGGAAGUGGUGUUGCGUCAUGUGGAAGUGGUGUUGCGUCAUGUGGAAGUGGUGUUGCGUCAGGUGGAAGUUGUGUUGCGUCAUGUGGAAGUGGUGUUGCGUCAUGUGGAAGUGGUGUUGCGUCAUGUGGAAGUACCCCAUGUGACCACGGGGGGCAGCAUUGGCUCAUGGCUUGUCAGAAAAGCCUUUAACGUCACAAAAAAUGACUUUUUACCGACACUUUGCUGUGUUUGUUCUUUGUCAUGUCAUGAUAAUAAAAAAAUAAAAAAUUAAACAGGAUAGGAUAGUGAUGUAUUUACUUUAUUUUUAAUUCAUAUAUAUAUAUGUAUAUAUAUAUAUAUAUUAAAAAAAUUUAAUCGAUUUAGAAUCGAGAUGAAUAAGGACCGCGGAUGUUAAUGGAUUUUUGUGUCCACCACUUGUUGCAAUACAGAUUUAUAAAAGUAGCAUGUAAUGAAAAAGUAAAAAUGCGUAAUAAAUAAUAGUUACUGCUCUGUCAUGACGCGGAGUCGAUCCCAGGUUUCCUCUGCAGCUGGAGCUGCAGGCACCUCUGCUGGCAGCACGCUCAAACACACCUCUGCUCACACUGAGCACAACACGCCCACACAGCAACAAGUCUGCAAGCAAUCACUGAUCAGCACACCUGGACUUGACGAGGGGGAGCGGCAUAAAGACCAGCGGACCCGAGGAACCUUUGCCAGAACGUCGCUAACCUUCCAUGACUCCCCUGACCUCCGUGAUCGUGCCUUGUCACUCGACACCCAUCCGGAUUCCUAACUGCCCACCUCGAUCCACGAUCUCCCUGCUCGGACCCAGACCACGCUGCCCUGCUCUUGCCCACGACCACUUGCCUGUCCACGAACUGCCUCUUCGCCUUUGCCCCUUGGAUACGACGAAAGAUACAACCAACAUUUACAGACAACAACCCUUGGUAACAUUUACAUUAUUAAUUUUACACAUAGAAAGAAAGAAGAGGGAGGGGAAAUGGGCUUCACUACACAUUUUAAAAUAUGGGCUUUAUUUUCAAUUGUGUCGCAAAGCUUGUUUUUUUUGUCCUAAUGUUACACUUGUAAUAGAGUGAUCAAUGUUUGUCUGUUGCCAUCUCCUGGUGAACGUUGGCUAUAGCGUACUGGGGUUACUUUUUGGUUGGCCAACGAUUUACGUGGUGUUGCAGACCUGACGUCACGUGUGUUGAGUCUGUUCCGGAAGUCUACAGUAAA